CCUACGGGGGGCUGCAGUGAGGAAUAUUGGUCAAUGGGCGCAAGCCUGAACCAGCCAAGUCGCGUGAGGGAUGACGGUCCUAUGGAUUGUAAACCUCUUUUGUCGGAGAACAAAACCCGGGACGAGUCCCGGACUGCGUGUAUCCGAAGAAAAAGCAUCGGCUAACUCCGUGCCAGCAGCCGCGGUAAUACGGAGGAUGCGAGCGUUAUCCGGAUUUAUUGGGUUUAAAGGGUGCGUAGGCGGUCUGUUAAGUCAGCGGUAAAAUUGCGGGGCUCAACCCCGUCGAGCCGUUGAAACUGGCAGACUUGAGUUGGCGAGAAGUACGCGGAAUGCGCGGUGUAGCGGUGAAAUGCAUAGAUAUCGCGCAGAACUCCGAUUGCGAAGGCAGCGUACCGGCGCCAGACUGACGCUGAGGCACGAAAGCGUGGGGAUCGAACAGGAUUAGAUACCCUAGUAGC
rnacentral:rRNA from 1 species